AUAAUUACAUCGUUUUUUUGCAGAAAUGGACUUAAAUCCAUUAUUAUAUAAGAAACUAAAAGCAUUAAAGCAUUUAGAAAUGUCUGAAACAAACGAUGUAAUUAUAUGAAGCAUAAAAUAAAAGAUGAGGGUCACAUGACAAGAAUAUCGAUCGUUCUUCAACUCUUCUUGUCAUAUUUUGAAAGGCAAGGAAACUGAGGGUAUUUCUGUCAUUUUACACAUUGGCAAGCAAAAACUUAAUUACUGUUCUACCAUUUCUGCACUUAGCAGUCACCCCACGCUUCCGAGGAGGGGGGAGGUUGUCGGGGGCAUCCAAAACCAUGGGGUUUCAACAGUGUGUGGUCUCUCUCACUGUAUUGCUGCAAUCCUACUCCUCCUGUGUACGUUAGCAUUUCCCUCACAUUGAUGACAACGUUAACACCACCAUUCCCAUUCGCCACGUUUCCAUUGCCAUUGGCAGCGUGGCCGUCACCGGUCAGACCCAGAAAGUCUCUUGUCAAACG
rnacentral:misc_RNA from 1 species